CAAUAGCAUAUAUUAACGUUGUUGCAGUUGAAAAGCUCGUAGUUGAACUUUUGGUAGGAGCGACCUGGCCUUGGGCUUAUGCCCUUGUUGCCGUGUGUCGUGUCUGGCCAUCCUUUUCCGCUUCGGCGGGAAUCCUUUACUGUGAGUAAACUGGAGUGCUCAAAACAAGACGUUUGUUUGGUACAUUAAAGCAUGGAAUAAUAAGAUAGGACCUGGUUACUAUUUUGUUGGUUUGCAUAGCUGGGUAAUGAUUAACAGGGACAGUUGGGGGUAUUCGUAUUUAAUUGUCAGAGGUGAAAUUCUUGGAUUUAUGAAAGACGAACGACUGCGAAAGCAUUUACCAAGGAUGUUUUCAUUAA
rnacentral:rRNA from 1 species